GCUUUUAUAGCUCAAUGGUAGAGCAUAAUACUGUUAAUAUUAUGAUAGAGGUUCGAUUCCUCUUAAGGGCU
rnacentral:tRNA from 1 species